AAAUUGAAGAGUUUGAUCAUGGCUCAGAUUGAACGCUGGCGGCAGGCCUAACACAUGCAAGUCGAGCGGUAGCACAGAGAGCUUGCUCUCGGGUGACGAGCGGCGGACGGGUGAGUAAUGUCUGGGAAACUGCCUGAUGGAGGGGGGUAACUACUGGAAACGGUAGCUAAUACCGCAUAACGUCGCAAGACCAAAGUGGGGGACCUUCGGGCCUCAUGCCAUCAGAUGUGCCCAGAUGGGAUUAGCUAGUAGGUGGGGUAACGGCUCACCUAGGCGACGAUCCCUAGCUGGUCUGAGAGGAUGACCAGCCACACUGGAACUGAGACACGGUCCAGACUCCUACGGGAGGCAGCAGUGGGGAAUAUUGCACAAUGGGCGCAAGCCUGAUGCAGCCAUGCCGCGUGUGUGAAGAAGGCCUUCGGGUUGUAAAGCACUUUCAGCGGGG
rnacentral:rRNA from 1 species